rnacentral:rRNA from 1 species
UACGGAGGGUGCGAGCGUUAAUCGGAAUUACUGGGCGUAAAGCGCGCGUAGGUGGUUAAUUAAGUCAGAUGUGAAAUCCCAGGGCUCAACCUUGGAACUGCAUUUGAAACUGGUUAACUAGAGUUUUGUAGAGGGUGGUAGAAUUUCAGGUGUAGCGGUGAAAUGCGUAGAGAUCUGAAGGAAUACCAGUGGCGAAGGCGGCCACCUGGACAAAGACUGACACUGAGGCGCGAAGGCGUGGGGAG